CUGGGAUCUCUUGGGAUUUUCACAAACAACAAUGCUGCAGAAAAUAAAAACAUCCAGUGAGGAGCAGUUCUAUGGGCAGAGAGGACUUGAAGAGAGCAUCAGAGGAGCAUGGCCAGGCUGUUUUGAGCUGAUAUCCUGAACCUGGAUCCACAGGUCCACUUCCUGCCUCUCCUUGGCUCUCCAGUGCUGACUCUCUGGCUUCUGCACUUAUUGAAUAACUUUCUAAGUUUAUGAUUUUAAUAAACUACUUAUCCUUUUA